GUGCUCACUUCGCAACACAUACACUAAAAUUGGAAUGAUAUAGAGAAGAUCAGUAUGACCCCUGUGCAAGGAUGACACAUAAAUUCGUGAAGCACUCCAUAUUUCA
ensembl:snRNA U6 U6 spliceosomal RNA